UACAGAGGUCUCGAGCGUUAGGCGGAAUCACUGGGCUUAAAGCGUGUGUAGGCGGAUCGUUAAGUACCUUGUGAAAUCCCACGGCUUAACCGUGGAACUGCUUGGUAUACUGGCGGUCUUGAGCCAGCUAGGGGCUACCGGAACAAAUGGUGGAGCGGUGAAAUGCGUAGAUAUCAUUUGGAACGCCAAUGGUGAAAACAGGUAGCUGGGGCUGCACUGACACUGAGACACGAAAGCCAGGGGAGCGAACGGG
rnacentral:rRNA from 1 species